GAUGAACGCUGGCGGCGUGCCUAAUACAUGCAAGUCGAGCGAACAGAUAAGGAGCUUGCUCCUUUGACGUUAGCGGCGGACGGGUGAGUAACACGUGGGUAACCUACCUAUAAGACUGGAAUAACUCCGGGAAACCGGGGCUAAUGCCGGAUAACAUUUAGAACCGCAUGGUUCUAAAGUGAAAGAUGGUUUUGCUAUCACUUAUAGAUGGACCCGCGCCGUAUUAGCUAGUUGGUAAGGUAACGGCUUACCAAGGCAACGAUACGUAGCCGACCUGGGAGGGUGAUCGGCCACACUGGAACUGAGACACGGUCCAGACUCCUACGGGAGGCAGCAGUAGGGAAUCUUCCGCAAUGGGCGAAAGCCUGACGGAGCAACGCCGCGUGAGUGAUGAAGGUCUUCGGAUCGUAAAACUCUGUUAUUAGGGAAGAACAAAUGUGUAAGUAACUGUGCACGUCUUGACGGUACCUAAACAGAAAGCCACGGCUAACUACGUG
rnacentral:rRNA from 1 species